GCCUGGGUGGCUCAGCGGUUGAGCAUCUGCCUUUGGCUCAGGGUGUGAUCCCAGGAUGCGGGAUCGAGUUCUGCAUCAGGCU
rnacentral:tRNA from 1 species